CCGGGGUAGCUCAGACGGUAGAGCAGAGGACUGAAAAUCCUUGUGUCGGCGGUUCAAUUCCGCCCCCCGGACCA
rnacentral:tRNA from 1 species